UCGAGCGGUAGAGAGAAGCUUGCUUCUCUUGAGAGCGGCGGACGGGUGAGUAAUGCCUAGGAAUCUGCCUGGUAGUGGGGGAUAACGCUCGGAAACGGACGCUAAUACCGCAUACGUCCUACGGGAGAAAGCAGGGGACCUUCGGGCCUUGCGCUAUCAGAUGAGCCUAGGUCGGAUUAGCUAGUUGGUGGGGUAAUGGCUCACCAAGGCGACGAUCCGUAACUGGUCUGAGAGGAUGAUCAGUCACACUGGAACUGAGACACGGUCCAGACUCCUACGGGAGGCAGCAGUGGGGAAUAUUGGACAAUGGGCGAAACCCUGAUGCAGCGACGCCGCGUGGAGGAAGAAGGUCUUCGGAUUGUAAACUCCUGUUGUUGAGGAAGAUAAUGACGGUACUCAACAAGGAAGUGACGGCUAACUACGUGCCAGCAGCCGCGGUAAAACGUAGGUCACAAGCGUCGUCCGGAAUUACUGGGUGUAAAGGGAGCGCAGGCGGGAAGACAAGUUUGAAGUGAAAUCCAUGGGCUCAACCCAUGAACUGCUUUCAAAACUGUUUUUCUUGAGUAGUGCAGAGGUAGGCGGAAUUCCCGGUGUAGCGGUGGAAUGCGUAGAUAUCGGGAGGAACACCAGUUGCGAAGGCGGCCUACUUGGCACCCAACUGACGCUGAGGCUCGAAAGUGUGGGUAGCAAACAGGAUUAGAUACCCUGGUAGUCCACACCGUAAACGAUGAUUACUAGGUGUUGGAGGAUUGACCCCUUCAGUGCCGCAGUUAACACAAUAAGUAAUCCACCUGGGGAGUACGACCGCAAGGUUGAAACUCAAAGGAAUUGACGGGGGCCCGCACAAGUAGUGGAGUAUGUGGUUUAAUUCGACGCAACGCGAAGAACCUUACCAAGUCUUGACAUCCUGCGACGAUGCUGGAAACAGUAUUUUUCCUUCGGGACGCAGAGACAGGUGGUGCAUGGUUGUCGUCAGCUCGCGUCGUGAGAUGUUGGGUUAAGUCCCGCAACGAGCGCAACCCUUAUGGUCAGUUACUACGCAAGAGGACUCUGGCCAGACUGCCGUUGACAAAACGGAGGAAGGUGGGGAUGACGUCAAAUCAUCAUGCCCUUUAUGACUUGGGCUACACACGUACUACAAUGGCGUUAAACAAAGAGAAGCAAGACCGCGAGGUGGAGCAAAACUCAGAAACAACGUCCCAGUUCGGACUGCAGGCUGCAACUCGCCUGCACGAAGUCGGAAUUGCUAGUAAUCGU
rnacentral:rRNA from 1 species